AGCUUUUAAAACGAAUACCGUGCGAGGACGCGUCGCGCAGUCCAUCUGCCCUUGUCUGUGUGGCUGAGGUGACGACCAAAUAAGACACUCGACCGGCGGAAGCCUACGCGAACGCCAGGAAUAAUGCGACCGCUAGAGCUGAUGAACGUGAAGGACUCGUACAGCUGGAUCCUGCCGGACCGGGACCCACGAGUCGAAGGAUGGGUGCUCAUCGGAAGCCCCGUGGCUGUGACCACGGUUCUCGCGUGCUACGCUUACUUCGUCAAGAUUUGGGGGCCGCGCAUGAUGAAGAACGCAAAGCCGUUCGAGCUGCGCAAGACCAUCUUGUGCUACAACGCCGCCAUGGUGUUGGCGAACCUGGCGAUAGCAACGCGCGUGGGAUACUACGCCUUUGUCACGGGCCACUAUGACCUCUUCCUCCAGGGUCCGGAUCUGUCCACUAGACCAACUACUAUGAUUCUGCUUCAGGUUUCGUGGUGGUACCUGGUGCUGCGGCUAUUGUCCGAGUGCAUCGAGACGGUGUUUUUCGUGCUGCGCAAGAAGUUCAACCAAGUGAGCGGCCUGCACGUCUUCCACCACGUGUCCGUGUCUUCUGCACGUACUUCUACAUCACCUACGGCGGCUUCUCCAUCGCCUGCUUCGAGACGGUGUUUAACUCGAGCGUGCACGUGAUCAUGUACGCCUACUACUUCCUCGCCGCCCUGGGACCUGAGGUGCAGCGUCACCUGUGGUGGAAGCGCUACUUGACCCGGCUGCAGCUCGUCCAGUUCAUCGUCAUGAUCGUGCGCAACGUGUGCCUCGUCUUCACACUUGGCGUGCCUUACUUCUCGCUGCCGCUGUUCAUGCUCUCGCAGUGUCUCAUCUUCUUCAUUCAGUUCCUCAGCUUCUACAUCCGCUCGUACAAGUCCAACGCCGUGCGACUCGUCAAGUGCGGCGGUUCCUCGCAAGACGAGCACUGGAAGGUCGAGCGAGUGAAGGCUCAGUGAGAAAUAUCUUGUCACACGACGACGCAAGCGCGCAUGCCGAUCAAAACUCGUCCGUCAAACACCAGCACGCGAACGUUUCGUUGGCGUCGAUAAAGGGGGCAAUGAAUGACCUAGUUGUGGGUAGCGAAGCAGGCGCGGUGCGCUGGCUGCCUCUUUGAACACGCGACGUCGACCUUCCAACGUUUGCCAAUUUGGACUGCCGUGGGCCCCAGCGCUCUGUGUGUGAAAGGCUUUGGCAGUCUAGUGACUUCGUAGUGCAAGUACAACGCGGUGACCUCUACAAGCAGGGGCGAUGUGUGAUGAAUCUCGGAGUAGUUGUGCUCAGCGAGGCGCAGUAUUGCGACGCACGGCCGAGGACGAUGCUCAUUUCAUUGCCGUUGCCGAUGUGUCGCGAGUGUGACGAGACGAAGUGGAGCCUCCUGUCUGCCUCCACGUCUGUGUGAAAAAGCGAACAAGGUCUUUCUGCGUCCACUAGAACUCUGACGAAAAGCCCAAGGACAGUGCCUUAUGAAUGUUCAUUUUUUCGAGGCAUUGAUGCAGAAAGUGUUGCUUAUUUAUAUCCUUUUCUGACAUGUUCUUUAGAGAUAUGUAUACCUAACACAUUCAUCAGUUGUCAACUGCGUCACCUCGACCACGUUCUGCCGCAGAACGCGAAUCGACGAAUACGUCCUGUAGAACGCCGCAUCCACAUUGGACUGCGGGAUUUUGUAAAUAGCCCGUAAUAAACAAUGCAAUACGAGUAUCUCA